rnacentral:rRNA from 1 species
UAGAGUUUGAUCAUGGCUCAGGAUGAACGCUGGCGGUAUGCCUAACACAUGCAAGUCGUACGAGAGUUUUUAACUCUAGUGGCGGACGGGUGAGUAACACGUGAGAAUUUGCCUUUAGGAGGGGGAUAACAAUUGGAAACGGAUGCUAAUACCCCAUAUGCUUUCGAGUGAAAUGGAUUUAUAUUUAUCCGCCUAGAGAGAAGCUCGCGGCUGAUUAGCUUGUUGGUAAGGUAAGAGCUUACCAAGGCGACGAUCAGUAUCUGGUUUGAGAGGACGAUCAGACACACUGGAACUGAGACACGGUCCAGACUCCUACGGGAGGCAGCAGUGGGGAAUUUUCCGCAAUGGGCGAAAGCCUGACGGAGCAAUACCGCGUGAGGGAAGACUGCCUAUGGGUUGUAAACCUCUUUUUUCAGGGAGGAAUCAAUGACGUGUACCUGAAGAAUAAGCACCGGCUAACUCCGUGCCAGCAGCCGCGGUAAGACGGAGGAUGCAAGUGUUAUCCGGAAUCACUGGGCGUAAAGCGUCUGUAGGUGGUUUAAUAAGUCAACUGUUAAAUCUUGAGGCUCAACUUCAAAAUCGCAGUCGAAACUAUUAGACUAGAGUAUAGUAGAGGUAAAGGGAAUUUCCAGUGGAGCGGUGAAAUGCGUAGAUAUUGGAAAGAACACCGAUGGCGAAAGCACUUUACUGGGCUAUUACUAAC